GGUAAGUAGCUCAGUAGGUAGAGCACCGGACUGUUAAUCCGUAGGUCGAGGGUUCGAGCCCCUCCUUUCC
rnacentral:tRNA from 1 species